AAAAAGACAAACCCUGGUUUCCGUGCCCAACGUUUGACCGUCCGUCUUAUUUGAAAAAAUUAUGAAAAAAAAUUAAAAAGACAAGUCACGCACAAAGUAUUAAUCAUGUUUUAUCAUCUAACAACAAUAAAAAUACGAAUUAUAAAAAAAUUUCAUAUAAGACGGACAGUCAAAGUUGGACACGGAAACCCAGGGUUUGUUUUUUU
rnacentral:pre_miRNA from 1 species